CUCUCUCUCUCUCUCUCUCUGGAGUAACUACCGUCCACCGUCAAUGACUUUGCUUCCUCCAUAACACUCCUCCUCGAUCGUUGUCGGUGGUUUAAUUGCGGGCAUAGAGACCGCUUGAUUGUUUUUGACUGGGAAGGCUUUACCUUUGAGAGGCAAAGAAGGAGGUUGCAGCCACCAUUGGAGCUGUACACUACAGCAGCUGUGGAGGACAGCUUGAACUUGAGAGGAGCAAUGGAACUUUCUAAAGGGAAAGGGAAGGCCAUCUAUGUAGCCAAGGGAAAGAAAUUAAUGCUGGAUGGUGAUUUGGAGAAGACUGUAACAAGAUAAACUUUAACUCUCCAUUUUUCAUCUACCUAUUGAUCAUUGUUCUUCAUUUUACUGUUGCAUAUAUGUAUGUAUAGAUUACGUUUCUUCGAGAAAAGAAUGUUGGCGUAGUGAUCCGAGGCCUGAUGAUAUAGUGUAUUAUAGCAACUGAUUUUCAGCCGUGUAUAUGAUGAUGGACAGCGUGAAAGUUUUCAACACUUGCUUAAAGACAUAAGGGUUAUGCUUGGGAAAUAACAAUUGCUGAAGGUGGCUAUGGUCUAGAUGAACUCUUAAGUAGUCGAAAGAGUGUUCUGACCGGUAUGUGUUUUGCUCCUUAGAUUGGGUGCUACUUCUAUUGAGCAUUUUCUCUAUUAGAAAGGCAAAUGGUUGAGAGAGAAUCAUGUUAGUGCCGACUUUUUGAUGGUUUCCGUCUCCAUUCCAGGUCUGUAACUAACUAGACAAGGUUUUCAAAUUUUAAAAUUUUGUUUACAUUUCAAGUAUGUUAACGGACAGUCUUGGCAAUGGGUUCAAUUGUAGAGUUCCUGUUAUUUUCUAAUUUCUAAUCGGCCAAAAAAAUACUCUAACACGAACCUUUCAAGUGCUUUGUAACUUUAAUGCCCUUUGUUCUUCCUUCAAAGGUACAAAAAUAAGCGAAGCUAAAGGUCCCAGGUCUUUUAGUUAUCGAUACCCCUGGCCACGAAUCGUUCACUAAUUUAAGGUCCCGGGGUUCAGGUUAUGUGACAUUGCAAUCUAGAACCACAGACU